CUCCGGUUGAUCCUGCCGGACCCGACUGCUAUCAGAGUGAGAUUAAGCCAUGCGAGUUAACGUAGCAAUACGUGGCGCACGGCUCAGUAACACGUAGUCAACAUGCCCAGAGGACGUGGAUAACCUCGGGAAACUGAGUCUAAACCGCGAUAAGUGAGGAUUUCUGGAAUGGUUCCUGACCAAAAUCUAUAUGGCCUCUGGAUUGGACUGCGGCCGAUCAGGCUGUUGGUGAGGUAAUGGCCCACCAAACCUGUAACCGGUACGGGCUCUGAGAGGAGGAGCCCGGAGAUGGGCACUGAGACAAGGGCCCAGGCCCUAUGGGGCGCAGCAGGCGCGAAACCUCUGCAAUAGGCGAAAGCCUGACAGGGUUACUCUGAGUGACUUUCGCUAAGAAAGUCUUUUGGCACCUCUAAAAAGGGUGCAGAAUAAGGGGUGGGCAAGUCUGGUGUCAGCCGCCGCGGUAAUACCAGCACCCCGAGUGGUCGGGGCGAUUAUUGGGCCUAAAGCAUCCGUAGCCGGUCCUGCAAGUCUUCCGUUAAAUCCAGCUGCUCAACAGAUGGGCUGCGGGAGAUACUACAGGGCUAGGAGGCGGGAGAGGCAAGCGGUACUUUAUGGGUAGGGGUAAAAUCCGCUGAUCCAUAGAAGACCACCAGUGGCGAAGGCGGCUUGCCAGAACGCGCUCGACGGUGAGGGAUGAAAGCUGGGGGAGCAAACCGGAUUAGAUACCCGGGUAGUCCCAGCUGUAAACGAUGCAGACUCGGUGAUGGGUUGGCCUCGCGCCUGCCCAGUGCCGCAGGGAAGCCGUUAAGUCUGCCGCCUGGGGAGUACGGUCGCAAGACUGAAACUUAAAGGAAUUGGCGGGGGAGCA
rnacentral:rRNA from 1 species